rnacentral:tRNA from 1 species
GCCCAGGUGGUGGAACGGUAUACACGCAACACUUAAAAUGUUGUGGCCAAAAGCCUUGUGGGUUCGAGUCCCACCCUGGGCA